UACGUAGGGCGCAAGCGUUAUCCGGAAUUAUUGGGCGUAAAGGGUCCGUAGGCGGUUGAUUAAGUCCUUUGUUAAAGCUCCUGGCUUAACCAGGAAAGGGCAGAGGAUACUAAUUAACUAGAGUAGAUUCGGGGCUACUGGAAUUUGCCAUGUAGGGGUGAAAUCCGUGGAUAUGGCAAGGAACACCGAGGGCGAAGGCGGGUGGCUAGGAUUUUACUGACGCUCAGGGACGAAAGCUAGGGGAGCAAACUGGAUUAGAUACCCGCGUA
rnacentral:rRNA from 1 species